rnacentral:lncRNA from 1 species
CCCUUCCGUUUUCCUCCCGCCGUAGCCCAGCCGCAGCCAGCCGCCGCCGCCGAUCCUUCUCUUCCGUUGUCUGCACUGCCGCGCGACUUUCCGGCCGUCUGUAUACGGUCUCUCCGUCGCACGUCGUCUCUUCGCAAAGCUGCUGCUCGACUUCUUCCGCGAAUAACACCUUUGACGUCCGCGCAAUCAGGUUUUCAUUCGCUACCGUGAACCGAACUAAAGACCCCAGAUCCAACUUUCUGCGUGUCGAGUUCCUUCUUCGUCCUGCCGCAGGUAGCAAACCCACGUCAUUCGAUUGGGUUAUUCGUUGUCGUUCCUACUUUGCCACGAGUCAUUAAAUUCUGAUUGGUAAGAUUGAGGUUAUGAAAUUCGUAACUGUUUCCAAAAUAAACUCAAGUAAUAUUGCUGGACUAAUUGGUUGGAGAAAUCGUUUACUGUUCGGUUAUAGGUUGAAGGUAACGCUCGAAUUCCUUGGGUUCGCAGCAAACAAUCAUUCUAGUUGGAACUCGUUUCGCGAAGAUUUGGGUAAGUUGUAAAAAUUCACAUUGGAUUGAAUUUAAAUGAUUGAUGCGUUAAAGAGAAUUAUUGAGAAAUUUUCUUAAUGUUUAGGUUCGUUCUUCGUAGACUUCAACGUGGUUAAGGAGCUUAAACUAACUUGAAAGUAAGGGACUUUCUACUGGACUCACCUAAAGUUUUUGAGUUGUGUUGGACUGUAUGGAUGAUGAUUAAGAUGUACAUGUUUGGUUGCAGACUAAAUGUUUAGUGUAUGUUGUAUUUGACUGGAAACAUAUAUAUAUACAUUGAUGUGUGAAUUGAUGUGGAUUGCCGAAAGUAUACAUGUGAAUGACUGAAAUUAUGCUAAUGUGUACAUGAUUGAUAUUAAUAGAUUGUGCCUGUAUAAAGAUUUGGAUGUGAACUAGUGAAUUUGAUUCGGUUGGAUGUGGAUUAUACUGAACUGUGGUUUGUGCUGCGUGAACUGAGGGGUGUAUUGACUGUAUAGUUUGAUUGACUGACGUAUUAGUAUAUUAUUGACAGACAUAUGACUAAAGUGAGAUAAGUUGACUGUUAGGACGUCGAGAGAAAGAACUUUAUGUUUUGAAGUAACUGAAAGAUGGAUUGAAUGGAAUGAGGGGAUAAAUUGUUAGGUUGUAUUGGGAUGUUUACCUUGUAGGUGUCCCACGGGACCACCAAUUUAUUUUGCACCUUCGGGAGCAUUUGACUGAUAUGUGUUUCUGCAGAACACUUGACUAAUAUGUACGUCCCUCGGGGCGUUAGACUGAUAUGUACGUCCCUCGGGGCGUUAGACUGAGAUGUGUAUCCUACGGGAUCACAAGACUGCGACUGUACAGGGUGUCCCAAUAGAACUUUAACAAUUUAUUUUCCCCUGACGAGACCAGUAGAGGGUCUCUUACUGAGUAUUGUUAUACUCACCCUUCUUAUGUUUAAUUUUCAGGCAAAGGAAAUAAAGGUGGCAAACCGGCGAGGGGCAGGAAGGAAGCGUGAUUGCCAUAGGGAAUGUGUUAUUUUGCUUCCGC